CGGGACCCUACUGUGAGUAAUCCACUUCAAGAUUGUUGUUGUAGUAGUUGAUGCAUUAAAUAUAUUGAUAGAAAGGACUGGAAAUGCUCGUUAUGCUUUAAUGAUUAGAUAACUAUCAGAGGCUUAUAAUUCCUUCCUUCUGGGAAAGUUAAUUCUUUGUCCAACAAAGAGAAGUCAGUAAAGCAGCUAAGAGAUGAAGAUAAGUAGUUUCGGUACUGCUUCUGUGGAUAACAGUUUUCAAUUGCAUUCUAGUCAUUAUGUACUUGGUAACUGUUGACUCUGGUUAAAUCAAUGAAAGAUGAGACAAUUUUAUGCUAUAGGUAGCUUUCUUGACUAUUAAGGAGAUACUACAAAUGCACAGAUGCAAUGGCCAGUUGUUUUCUUCAAUAAUGGG
rnacentral:misc_RNA from 1 species